rnacentral:rRNA from 1 species
CUGCGGAGGAUCAUUAUCUAAACCGAGACGGGCGCCCCCAGCCGGGUGCCCCGACCGUUCAAACCCUCCGUGUACCCAUACCUCUGUUGCUUCCCGUCCGGGCCUCGCGGCCCGUGGCGGGGAGGUCUACCGAAACUCCUUGUCUUUUCAUGCAGUCUGUAGAUGGCGGCUAGUCCGCGAAAAUUUAAAAGUUAAAACUUUCAACAACGGAUCUCUUGGUUCUCGCAUCGAUGAAGAACGCAGCGAAAUGCGAUAAGUAGUGUGAAUUGCAGAAUUCAGUGAAUCAUCGAAUCUUUGAACGCACAUUGCGCCCUCUGGCAUUCCGGAGGGCAUGCCUGUCCGAGCGUCAUCAAACCCCCUCAAGCGGCCUUUGCUGCUUGGUCCUGGCCGACGAUCGUCCCCCCUCGGGGUGGCGUUCCCGGCUGAAAGGGAUCUGGCGGAGAGCCUGGUCUCCACAGAUGUAGUAAGCUUUACGCCUAUCUUCCGCUGGUGUGGCCAGUUAUCCAGCCGUCAACCCCAAUUCUUUUGGUUGACCUCGGAUCAGGUAGGGAUACCCGCUGAACUUAAGCAUAUCAAUAAGCGGAGGAAAAGAAACCAACAGGGAUUGCCUUAGUAACUGCGAGUGAAGCGGCAAGAGCUCAGAUUUGAAACCUGCCGUCUUUGGCGGCCGGAUUGUAAUCUGGAGAGACCACUUCUGGUGGGCGGCCGGUCCAAGUUCUUUGGAACAAGGCAUCAGAGAGGGUGAGAAUCCCGUAUCUGGCCGGUUCGUCCCAUCUUGUGAAGGGUCUUCGACGAGUCGAGUUGUUUGGGAAUGCAGCUCAAAAUGGGUGGUAAAUUUCAUCUAAAGCUAAAUACUGGCGAGAGACCGAUAGCGCACAAGUAGAGUGAUCGAAAGAUGAAAAGCACUUUGAAAAGAGAGUCAAAAAGUACGUGAAAUUGUUGAAAGGGAAGCGCUUGAGACCAGACUCGGGCCGGGGUGAUCAGCGGUGCUUCUGCGCCGUGCACUUGCCUCGACCCGGGCCAGCAUCGGUUGUGACGGCGGGAUAAAGGCUCGAGGAAUGUGGCUCCCCUCGGGGAGUGUUAUAGCCUCGGGUGCAAUGCCGCCUGCCGCGACCGAGGACCGCGC